rnacentral:rRNA from 1 species
AUUUGAAUUUGGUUCGGAGGAAAAGAAACCAACAGGGAUUGCCCUAGUAACGGCGAGUGAAGCGGCAACAGCUCAAAUUUGAAAGCUGGCUCCGGCCCGCAUUGUAAUUUGCAGAGGAUGCUUCUGGUGAGGUGCCUUCCGAGUUCCCUGGAACGGGACGCCAUAGAGGGUGAGAGCCCCGUAUGGAUGGACACCAAACCUGUGUGAAGCUCCUUCAACGAGUCGAGUAGUUUGGGAAUGCUGCUCAAAAUGGGAGGUAAAUCUCUUCUAAAGCUAAAUACCGGCCAGAGACCGAUAGCGCACAAGUAGAGUGAUCGAAAGAUGAAAAGCACCUUGAAAAGGGGGUUAAACAGUACGUGAAAUUGUUGAAAGGGAAGCACUUGUGACCAGACUUGCGCCGGGCAGCUCAUCAGGGGUUCUCCCCUGUGCACUCUGCCCGGCUCAGGCCAGCAUCGGUUCUCGUGGGAGGAUAAGAACGGUGGGAACGUGGCCCCCCUCCGGGGGGGUGUUAUAGCCCACCGUACGAUACUCUCGUGGGGACCGAGGUUCGCGCUCCGCAAGGAUGCUGGCGUAAUGGUCAUCAGUGACCCGUCUGAAACUGUGCCCCAGUGU